AUGUGGCAACUUCCUGGGUUAAGACAGAUGGCAGCUGUGGCUCCAGACCUCAGAAGCAGCAGGUCCUGUGGGGUGGAUAAGUCCAGCAAUCUUGUUCACUCCCAAGAUUUCCAGCCUCAAACUGACUCUCCAGAGGCAUCUUGCAGUGAUUUGGUAAGGAUCAAAUUCCCUUCAUUAAGUCUCUUCCUGUCUAAAGUACUGUUUCAGAAAAACCUUAUCUAUGGAAAGAGCCCCCAAAGAUGUGGAGGGCUGAGAGACUGAAAGAAGAAGGCAAAGUCAAGAUCACAGAAAGUGUGAUUUAUGGUGGGCAUUUUUUGUUGUUGUUGUUUAAAUAUUUAUUUAUUUGAAAGGCAGAGUUACAGUGAGGCAGAGGCAGAGAGAGAGAGAUGUCUUCCAUCCGCUGGUUCAUUCCCCAGAUGGCUGCAACAGCCGGAGGUGUGCCAAUCCAAAUCCAGGAUCCAGGAUGUUCUUCCAGGUCCCCCACGUGGGUGCAGGGGCCCAAGGACUUAGGCCACCUUAUACUGCUUUCCCAGGCUAUAGCAGAGAGUUGGACCAGAAGUGGAGCAGCCAGGACUUGAACCAGUGCCCAUAUGGGAUGCUGGCACUGCAGCUGGCGGCUUUACCUGCUGCGCCACCGCGCUGGCCCACUAUGGUGGGCAUUUACAGACAGAAGUGUGGUUUUGGGCACUUGUGACCUGCUGUGAGGCAAGACAGGAAAGGUUCGUAGGCAGAGGCGGCCUCUGGCUUAUCAGAGUGUACCUGGAUUUUCUCUAGGGAAACAUUAACAUUCCAGGCAUUAGAUAAAGGUCAUUGCAGAGAGUGGUCCUGGCCAGGGGACCCCAGUAGGUCAUGUUAAUGGCCUUGCUUUCCCUUUCCUAGGGCUUGAGAUGACCAUAAUGGUUGCCUGAAGGGCAAGAUGUUGGUUAUGCCCAACAAGCUGUAGUCGUGUCAAGCUGAUUGCCUACACGGCCACAGAUUUCUGCACCGAAGCGUCGCUGACAUACUCGGUAUUGGAAGUGAUUGCAGGAAUUGAGGAGUGGGAGUGACCUGGCUAGGAUUGGGCCUUGAUGCCAGUGCAAUGUGGGACAUUAUGAACCUAGACAUGCAGUGGCAAGGAUUACCUAAGUUAUUACCUGGAAUGAAAGGUUUACUAAAGGCCAGUCUUCAGCGCUUGCCACAGUAGGUACUUAGGACAGAACGAGAAAUACAAGAAUUGUAUUGUAUUGUAUUGGAAUUUUCUGACUGUACUGAAGAGAUUAAA
rnacentral:lncRNA from 1 species